UCCUUACAGUUAUAAACAAAAACACAAUAUAUAAAAUACUUAUAUUGUAAAAUUAUGGCAAAAGCCAAAAAGAAACAAAAUAACAAUAAUAAAAUGUUUAUUAUUGUAUAUCGCCUCCUAGGCAAAAAGUAUAUAUACAAUACUUCUUAUAUUGUAAAAUUAUGGCAAAAAGAAACAAAAUAACAAUAAUAAAAUGUUUAUUAUUGUAUCGCCUCCUAGGCAAAAAAGUAUAUAUAAAAUACUUAUAUUGUAAAAUUAUGGCAAAUGGCAAAAAGAAACAAAAUAAAUUUGAAAUACAUAAAAUUAUAGUUGUACUUGUAUAAAAUUGAAAAGUAAUUUUAUAAAGUCAAUCAUUGUUCUUUUUUUAAGAACUUGAGACAUUCGCAACAAAAAUUUUAUGUUUUAAUUAUAAAAGAGAAUAAUAAUAAGCAAAAAUUAUUGAAGGAAUUGAUAUAUGCCAAUUUGAA
rnacentral:rRNA from 1 species